AACAGUCUCACCAUUACCGGCAUUUGUUGGGCUCGGAUAACUUGAACAGCUUUGUGGAGUGUGGACAGCCUCAGGAUGUUUGUACAUGUUUGUGCUGACUUUUGUAGUGACAUGAAGAGGGGCUCAACAGCCUGUCUUAAGGAUAAAUAACUACAGCAUUACUUGUUUGGCAGACUCAGAAGAGCUGGACAAAAUCAAGGCAUCCUGACAGUCAAAACAUAUGUUUACACCUCCCUCCCUUCCCUAUCACCCCCUUGUUCAUCGCCGACACUUUUUAUCAUUCUUUUCACCCUUUCGUUUAAAGCCCUUCCCUCCACCUUCCCUGGCACACUGAGUCACCUUAUUCCCCGUGACUGCCACAAUCAUCCCUUCUUCCUUCCCGUUUGUUCAGUGGCACAGUGACGGCCCUCCUCCAGUGUUCCGGCACCUCACCCUGCUCACAAGCUUGGCCAUGUGAGGCGUUGGUGUAAAAGUUGUGACCAAACCAAUCAAAGCGGGAAGUACUGUUUUUGGCGGCAUCUGGCACCUGAAUUCUUGCUGCAUUGUGCGGUGAAGCAAGUUUCAGAAAAAGCAGCCUUAAACCAGGUGAUUCAUAGGCCUAAAGUUGUGUGACUUCUCCGUUGAAGUCCCCAAUUUAUCUCGACUUCUUUCAGAAAGCUUUUUGUUCUCUAAACAGUUUGUUGAUGUCACUCUACCAAAAUAGUCAUAUACUCUGUCUACUUUCCCUACUGUUCCUUAACUGUCUAUUUUGUAUCGUCUGUCCAGCAUGCAUUCCCUCCCUUCCUCUUCCACACACCUUGUGUCCCACUACGUCCCAGGCUGCCCUUGACACUGAACUCUUCUCAACCCGUCUGCUGUAAUUGCCUUCACUGUUAUCCUGGUAACAUACAGUACCAGGUCUUUCUCUGCCUCUGUGGUGGAUAGUGGAGUGUUUCCCAUGUGGUAUUGGUGUACUGGAUAUCCCUUCACUGUUAUCCUGGUAACAUACAGUCCCAGGUCUUUCUCUGCCUCUGUGGUGGAUAGUGGAGCAUUUCCCAUGUGGUAUUGGUGUGCUGGAUAUCCCUUCACUGUUAUCCUGGUAACAUACAGUACCAGGUCUUUCUCUGCCUCUGUGGUGGAUAGUGGAGCAUUUCCCAUGUGGUAUUGGUGUGCUGGAUAUCCCUUCACUGUUAUCCUGGUAACAUACAGUACCAGGUCUUUCUCUGCCUCUGUGGUGGAUAGUGGAGCAUUUCCCAUGUGGUAUUGGUGUGCUGGAUAUCCCUUCACUGUUAUCCUGGUAACAUACAGUACCAGGUCUUUCUCUGCCUCUGUGGUGGAUAGUGGAGCAUUUCCCAUGUGGUAUUGGUGUGCUGGAUAUCCCUUCACUGUUAUCCUGGUAACAUACAGUACCAGGUCUUUCUCUGCCUCUGUGGUGGAUAGUGGAGCAUUUCCCAUGUGGUAUUGGUGUGCUGGAUUUCCCCUCCCAAGGUGCAGGACUUUACAUUUUUCUUCACUGCAUUGUAGCAGCCACUUUUUGCUCCUGUCCUGUAGCUUGGUGAGGUGUUCUGGCAGGAAAUCUGCAGCCAAGGGGUUAAGACUCUCACAUCCUCACUCACUCCAGCACUGUGUUUCACUCCUACUCUUGCUCUGCCAAAUACUUCCCUCACCUUCCUUCUGUACCUCUGCUUGUACCAGUCUCUCACUGGACACUUCCUUCCUCACAUUAGAUCUCUUCCUAUUCCCUUAAAUUCCCACUCGUCUCUCAUCCUUACAUUUCCUAAUACCAGACUGUUGUGCCUGUCUUCCAAUCACUGCAUCACAAUUCCCACGUUCAGUUUCCCAGAUAUUUUGUGUGUACUUUAUUUUGCCCUGGCAGGAGAGGCAAGAUUUCAACCAAUAUCAGACACAGCUUCUAUCUUACUCCCCUGUUGGUGGGAGAAUUAGUCCCAGAAAUCACGGUGACACUGCAUACUAAAUCACGGUGAAUGGUCUGAGAGGUGGGAUGAGUC